AGCUUUGUAACUAAUACAAGUCUCUCUGUGUAUUCAUUUGGGUCUAACUCAGUCGGGCGGCUGGCGUAAAGCUCGCACGUGGUGGUGGGGCUCAGGCGGCUUUUGGCAAAAAGAUUUAUCGUAGCACAUAUAUGUGGAAUAUUAUUUGAGACAAAAACACAUAGCUUAAUAAAUAUGGAGAGAAAGAGCAACAUUCUAAACUGAAACCAAAGUGAGACAACAAACAUUUAACAAUUUAUAACACAAUUAAUCAGGCAGACUAUAAUGGGAAAAUUGAAACACCUGUAGAAAUAGUCUAACAAAACACAUCUUAUAUGACUAAUGAUGUAUAUUAAUAAAAAUAGAAUAAACAAAGGGAAAGAUCACAAUAUCAACAAAUUAAAAAUCUUGUGACCUUUAUCAAUGACAUAUUUAUAAUAUAUCCUGAUGCAAUAGUGUCAAUAAUGUUGUGGGAGGAAUUAACCACUUACUGAUGUAUUUUGUCUUCACUCCAUGAGGUAGAACCCAUACUUACACUGCUCCAGUGGCUUGAGGGGUGGCUUGAAGCUGAGAAAUGUUCAAAGUAUGCCUAAAACACACAUAAGGGAAUACUUACUAUAUUUAUUCUUCUGUGUUUGUGUUACCUUACUCAGGAUGAAUUUUUGCUAGUUUCCUCCGUGUGCCUGAAAGUAUACACAUAUUUAUAUGUAUAUAAAUGUCUCAGCAAAUGUCUGGUCCUAUAUACCUGUAGUCUUUAUUAGAAAUGAAGACUCAAUGGUUUAAUAUUAACUAUGAACUGUUGGGCCUAUUGCUCAGGCUUAUUACUAACUAGAUUUUACAACUUAAAUUAACCAGUUUCAUCUAUAUUUUGCCAAGUCGUUUCAUGACAUUGCCUGCUCUCUAUUACAUCUUGUUGCUCUGGCAGCUUGCUCGCAUCUGUGUGUGUCUCUACCCUUCUUCUGCCUGUAUCUCUGCCUGGAUUUCCUGCUGGUAUUAUCCUGCCUUACUAUAGGCAAAACCAUUUUCUUUAUUAACUAAUGGUGAUAACAUAGAUUCACAGCUUACAGAAGGGUUAUCCCACAGCAAUACCCCAUUGUGCAAAUGUACCGCAUUUCUUUAUUGUUGAGGACCAUCUAAGUCAUUUCCAGUUUCUGGCUCUUAUGAAUAGAGCAGGAACAAACAUGAUUGUGCAGUUGCAGUGUGAAGGAAAUGCUCACUCUGGUAUGGCCUUAUAAACAAUGCUGAGAGGAUAGUUGAAAAUGAGAAAACUAAUAUAGAAAGUCAUCAAAACAGAAGAUAGAUCUAUAGUCUUUGCUAACCUGUGCCUGCCUGGAUCAGGUUGUCAUGUCUCUCUUAUUACAGUAACUUGCUGUGUUUGCAAAAGAAAGGCCAGCAAUUCCCAAUGCAUUUCUAUCACCUUAUCUUUUAAAAACUAAGGCACGGUUUGAAGACAAACUGAUUUCUUUGGAGUAAAACAGAAUAACUUUGAUUGUAUUUGUUUGUAAUGGGAUUUUUCUUUGGGCCCUCAGCUCACAAAUAAUUACAUAGAGACUUAUUAUUAAUCAUGAAAGAUCAGUGUUAGCUUCAGCUGUUUUAUUUUCAACAGGCUUUUUUAGUUUAAAUUUACCCAUAUUAUUUUUAAUCUAUGUUCUUUCAUGAGGUUCAUUAUCUUAUCUCAGCAAAACCCAUCCUGCAUCCUUCACAUCUGGCUGGUGACUCUGCCUUUCUUCUUCACAGAGUUCUCCCUGCCCAUUCAACUUUUUGUUAUACUAAUCACAGUGAUACAUCUUCACACAUUGUACAAAUAUCCCUCAACAAUUGUAGUUAUACAUUAUUAUAAGGCCACUUUAAUUGUCGUGUUUCCUCUUCCCCAUCUGAAAGUCUGAGAAUGUUCAGGACCAGAGAACUCAUUUCUGGAGUUGCAAAAGAGAACAUAUCCCCCUCGUAUGAUUUAAUCACCACACUUACUUAAUCAUUGUCAUCUGCCUAUUUUUUCUUAGAUUGUCUUUUAUUUUGUUUUUAAAACAACCUUCAAAAUAAGCUGUUAAUCAAAGAAAAAAGGAGAAAGAAAGAGAGAGAGAGAAAGAAAAAUGAAUCCAUGAUGGUAGGCUAGAGACAAAACAGGAAGAGGAAGUGUGUUGACAGGACAAGGAAGCAGGCAGAUCAUAUCUUUAACCACAGUUACUUGGUCAGAGUGAACUGGCAGUAAGGUAAAGCUUUAACAACACAAGGCCCACCCAUGCUGAUCUACUUCUUAAAGUAAGGCUGAAACUCCCUAUAGCCUCUCCAAACAGCAUGGUCAACUGAAGAUCAGAUGUUCAAAUGCUUGAGCCUUGUGGGACAUUUCUUAUUCAAAUCAACCUCAACCUCCUACCAAAUUCAUUCUACCUCCCUACCUACAUAACCACCCAGCUUAUGUCUCAGUCUCUAUCUCUCUGUCUGUCUCUGUCUCUGUGUCCCUGUCUGUCUCUAUCUCCCUGCCUUUCUCUGUUUUUGUAUUUCUGUUUACGUCUCUCUUUCUCUGCUUCUUGUGUCUCUGUCUCUGUUGCUGUGUCUGUCUCACACAUACAUACACCUAUAUUCACACGCAGCAUUGUAUGCAUCAAGCCUAGAUUUAUUGCCCACAUAUUAUUGCAUUUCUGCCUACUUUGGAGCAUGGGUAAUGUACUAUUAGUAAAAGCCUUAAGGAAAAUCGACUCUUUCUCCCUUGCAAUAUCUCCUCUGCUAGGGGAGAGACUAUAUGACUAUUUGUAUUUCACAUCUUUAUCCCUGCUCCUUGUUGGGAUUUUUAUUAUUCAGACUUGAGCUUCUGCUCUUGUGUACUCUGUCACAUCUUCUGUGAGAUUUUAUGUCCAGUUGCUCUGGUGGUUCAUAAAACAGUUUCCUUGUAGUCAUCCAUUUCCUCUGGCUCUUGCAAUCUUUCUUCCCUUUGAACUUUGUGGGGAGGGAGGUGUUAUAAUGUUUCAUUUAGGGAUGAGCACUUCACCAUCUCUUCUUCACUGAAACUUAACCAAUUUUGAGUCUCUGUAAUUAGUGCCCAAAGGAAACCACAGUGAAGAAGCUUGGAGGGUGCACUAUUCUAAGAGUAUAAUGACAAAUCAUGAGGGGUAAUUUUAAUGUUGUAUCAAUUUAACAGAACUGCAGUAGCAGUCUAUCCUCUUGGUUUUAUGUGAUGGUUUUGAUAAAAAUGGCCCCUACAGACUAAUAUGUUUGAGUGCUUUUUUCCCAGUUGGUAGGCUUAUUUGGGAAGUAUGGAGAAGUAUAUCACUGUGCAUGGGCUUCGACAUUUCAAAAAUCCAUGCUAUGCUCAGUGCUUAUCCUUAUUGAUUAAGAUGUAGGAUCUGAGUUGUUUCUCUAAUGCCUGCUGCCAAGCUCCCGUACAACAAUGGUUAUGGACUAAAACUAAACAUCUGAAAUUGUCAGUCCCAAUAAAGUCUUUCAUUUAAGUUUUCUUGGUCAUGGUAUCUCCUCACAAAAAUGUAUGACUAAGUAAAAUAUCUAUUAACAAUCUAGCCACAGAUUUUUGGCUGUGGGAUAGUGAUGCCAGGUAAGGGUUACAUCUCAUUAAAUGGUCUUGAAAUAACAUCAGAGUGGUUGUUUCAUUCCAAUGAAUUCAUGAUACUAUUGCACUAAUUGGCAUGUCUUGACAGGUCAUGAAUUGUAGUUCUCAUGGCAUGUAGCUGAAAGUAAGAGCCAGAGGGGAUAAAGGACACCAAGGAAGCAUGGUCUUCUCAAUACAGAAGAACAACAUACCUAAAAACUCACAGAGACUGUAGCAUCAUACCCAUGGCAUGCACGGAUGCCUUGCUUGAUUUGUAAGAAGAGACAGAAGAGAUGUGGAUCUGGGUGGGAAGAAGAGGGGAAGGAGUUGGGAGGAUUUUGGAGAUUGGAAACCAUAAUCAGAAUAUAUUAUAUUAAAGUCUAUUUGUAAGAAAAAUAAACGUAGAAGUGAUAUUGAGGUUUACUUUGAUAUAAACAUAGAGACCAAUGGACUACAGAGUGCAAUACUAAAACCAAGGAGGUACAUAAUAGAUAGUAGAUAAUAUGACAACAAAUAGACCAAUAGAUGAUAGAUGUGUAGACAGGUGAUAGAUAUAGUAACAGUUAUACACAUUUAUAUUUGGAAAAGGUGAGAAAUUUAUCAAUGAACAAUGUAUUAUUUUCAUUAAAAAUUAUGACCAUUGGAUUUAUAAAUAAAAUGGUUUGAUGUUGGAUAUUGUAAGAUAUCCACACCACAUAAAAAAGAACUAAUACCUUAUUGAUUAUAACAAUGAUGGAGGAAGUAACAGAUUAACCUGUAUGAUAUUAAAAUUUGCCAAUAAAUUAUAAUAUAUAAUGAUUAAAGCAUGAUUACAUAUGGACACAUACACAGACAUCAGCAAUAACUCUAUAAAUUUUGAAUUAGAUGAUAAAUGAAAGAUUUUCAGAAGGAGGGAAAUGAGAGACAUGGGGAGACCUUCAAUAAAUACAAAUUUUCCAAUUAGAAUGAAUAAAAUAUGUCUUAAAGACAUAUAGAUGAAGGUGAUAUGAUACUGUGAAUAUAAUUAAUACAUAAGCUAUCACUUAUGUAACUGGGAAGAGUAGAAAAAAUGUGGUAUAUAAAUUUUAAACAAAAUGCUUUCUGCUACAAUAAAUCAUUUAUUAAAAGAACAUAAAACAGAACAAUCACAAAUGAAUUGGAUUCUGCCUCAAUGAGACUGAAAUGAGGUGACUGUCUACAGCAUGGAGGAAAGUGAGCCUCUAUGCUAACUGAAAUAAGCCAAAAACAGAAAGACAAGUGUGGUGUUUUCCCACUGACAUGUGCAACCUAAAAGCUGAUGUUGUAGAUACCGAAAGCAAAUUGGUAAUGAUCAGAGGCACAGAUGGGGGACAAGUAUAAGGCAGAUUGAUUAAUAGGUACAAAUCUAUCGAUGGGAGUAAGGAAUCCUGACAUAGAUAGUGAGCUGAUUAUAGAUAGUAAGAAUGUGCCUCAUAUUUCAAAAAGGCAGAUAAAUUUUGAAUCCUUUCACUAUAUUGCAUAACUCUGGUGUUAUUAAGUAAACUAUUUCAUUUACCUGAUUUCAAAAUUACACACUAUAAACAGGCAUCAGAUCACUAUAUUAGCUUAUUAUUGUGUAAAAUAUUUAUAAUUUUUAUUACAUUUAUUAUCUACUAUAUUAUUAUCUAUUUUGUGUGCAUAUGUGUGGGUGCAUGUGUGCCAUAUUACACCUGUCUGAGACCAACUUUAGGCAGUCAUUUUCCUCCCUCUAGUUUGUGGAUCCUCUGGAUUAUUCAGAUUAAGCUGCAAGUACUCCCACCAAGUAAGCCAUUUUAGUGGCCUAAUAUUUAUAUUUUUACAUAUCAGUUAAGUAUUUUUAUUUACAA